rnacentral:rRNA from 1 species
UACGUAGGUGGCAAGCGUUGUCCGGAAUUAUUGGGCGUAAAGCGCGCGCAGGUGGUUCCUUAAGUCUGAUGUGAAAGCCCACGGCUCAACCGUGGAGGGUCAUUGGAAACUGGGGGAACUUAGUGCAGAAGAGGAAAAGUGGAAUUCCAAGUGUAGCGGUGAAAUGCGUAGAGAUUUGGAGGAACACCAGUGGCGAAGGCGACUUUCUGGUCUGUAACUGACACUGAGGCGCGAAAAGCGUGGGGGAGCGAACAGG